UACGAAGGGGGGCUAGCGUUGUUCGGAAUCACUGGGCGUAAAGGGCGCGUAGGCGGCCGUUCAAGUCGGGGGUGAAAGCCUGUGGCUCAACCACAGAAUUGCCUUCGAUACUGGACGGCUCGAGACCGGAAGAGGUCAGUGGAACUGCGAGUGUAGAGGUGAAAUUCGUAGAUAUUCGCAAGAACACCAGUGGCGAAGGCGGCUGACUGGUCCGGUUCUGACGCUGAGGCGCGAAAGCGUGGGGAGCAAACAGG
rnacentral:rRNA from 1 species